UACGAAGGGGGCUAGCGUUGCUCGGAAUCACUGGGCGUAAAGCGCACGUAGGCGGGUUCUUAAGUCAGGGGUGAAAUCCUGGAGCUCAACUCCAGAACUGCCUUUGAUACUGGGAAUCUCGAGUCCGGGAGAGGUGAGUGGAACUGCGAGUGUAGAGGUGAAAUUCGUAGAUAUUCGCAAGAACACCAGUGGCGAAGGCGGCUCACUGGGCCGGUACUGACGCUGAGGUGCGAAAGCGUGGGGAGCAAACAGG
rnacentral:rRNA from 1 species